CUGAAGAGUUUGAUCAUGGCUCAGAUUGAACGCUGGCGGCAGGCCUAACACAUGCAAGUCGAGCGGAUGAAGGGAGCUUGCUCCUGGAUUCAGCGGCGGACGGGUGAGUAAUGCCUAGGAAUCUGCCUGGUAGUGGGGGAUAACGUCCGGAAACGGGCGCUAAUACCGCAUACGUCCUGAGGGAGAAAGUGGGGGAUCUUCGGACCUCACGCUAUCAGAUGAGCCUAGGUCGGAUUAGCUAGUUGGUGGGGUAAAGGCCUACCAAGGCGACGAUCCGUAACUGGUCUGAGAGGAUGAUCAGUCACACUGGAACUGAGACACGGUCCAGACUCCUACGGGAGGCAGCAGUGGGGAAUAUUGGACAAUGGGCGAAAGCCUGAUCCAGCCAUGCCGCGUGUGUGAAGAAGGUCUUCGGAUUGUAAAGCACUUUAA
rnacentral:rRNA from 1 species